rnacentral:rRNA from 1 species
UACAGAGACUGCAAGCGUUAUUCGGAUUCACUGGGCGUAAAGGGUGCGCAGGCGGUUGGGUGUGUCAGAUGUGAAAUCCCGAGGCUCAACCUCGGAACUGCGUCUGAAACUACUCGACUAGAGUACUGGAGAGGGUAACGGAAUUCACGGUGUAGCAGUGAAAUGCGUAGAGAUCCGGAGGAACACCGACGGCGAAGGCAGCGCCCUGGCCGCCAUCUGACGCUCAGGCACGAAAGCUGGGGGAGCGAACAGG